AUUGAACGCUGGCGGCGUGCUUAACACAUGCAAGUCGAUCGGUAACGCGGGGGCAACCCUGGCGACGAGAGGCGGACGGGUGAGGAACGCUUGGGAAUCUGCCCAUCAGCGGGGGACAACCCGGGGAAACCCGGGCUAAUACCGCAUACGCUCUACGGAGGAAAGCCGGGGACCGCAAGGCCUGGCACUGAUGGAUGAGCCCAAGUCGGAUUAGCUAGUUGGCGGGGUAACGGCCCACCAAGGCGACGAUCCGUAGCUGGUCUGAGAGGACGAUCAGCCACACUGGGACUGAGACACGGCCCAGACUCCUACGGGAGGCAGCAGUGGGGAAUAUUGGACAAUGGGGGAAACCCUGAUCCAGCGACGCCGCGUGGGUGAAGAAGGCCUGCGGGUUGUAAAGCCCUUUCGGUAGGGACGAAAGCUCUCGACCUAACACGUCGGGAGGAUGACUUAACCUACAAAAGAAGCACCGGCUAACUCUGUGCCAGCCGCCGCUGUAAUAC
rnacentral:rRNA from 1 species